UAAAAACGACCAGCUGUUCACCUGCAACUCACAUCGUCCAGGUGUAGAAACAGAUUUUUUAAAGCCAUUAAGGUACAUCAUUGUCCUGUUGGGUUUGGCAACUCUGAAGAUGACAUCAUUGUGUGUUGUAAUCCUGCUGCAGAGGAAGGCUGAAGCAUGAGGCCCACUGAUGAAGAUGAUGCUACAGCAAAGUACAAAAACAUUGCAUUGUCUCCUGUUUGUGUUGUGAGCCAGUCAUAAAACUUGGGGGCUUGUCCGGGAUUUGAAUCUGGGACCAUCAAGUUGAAUAAGCAAAUUUAACAUGGUUAAAGUUUAAUCCACAUGAGCUAUAAAGAAGAAACCAUAAAGAAGGGCAAGUAUGAAAAGAGGCGAUGAGUGGAAGGGCAACUGAGUCGUCAGUCAGGAUGUGGGGAUGUCGUGAUCUGUGUUUUUCUGUGUCUAUUGUGAGUUUCUGUGUUUUCCGAGUCUCCGUGUUGUCCUGUCUUCCCCUUGAUUGUUCCCAGGCGUGUCUCGUUCCUUGAUUACUUCCAGUGUAUUUAAUGUCACCUGUGUCUCUCUUGUGAUAUGUGUGAGCUAUUGUACCGUCGUCCUUCGUUUCACCAGUUGCUACCAGCAUUGAGCCCUGGCUUCUGCUCAGCCAUGCUGCCUGGGAUUUUGGACUUUGUAUUCCUGGUUUCUUCAUUAAAAUCAUUUUCUCACUCCUACCUGGGUCCUCAGCAUCUGCCUCACCACCAUGAGUCUCCUAGUACUCCCUCCGAGUCUCCUAGUGCCCCUUCCAAGUCGCCUAGUGCUCCCUUUAUGUCUCCCAGUGCUCCCUCGUCGCCCCCUAGUGGUCCCAGUGCUCCCUCGGCGCUGCCUAGUGGUCCCAGUGCUCCCUCGGCGCUGCCUAGUGGUCCCAGUGCUCCUUUGUUGCCCCCUUGUUGCCCCCUAAUGCUCCACCCAAGUCUCUGCCUCCCAGUGCUCCACCCGAGUCCCCUCGUGCUUCUGAGUCUCCACCCCUUUGUACCUCCUCUUCUUCGCCCCCUAGUGCUUCCUCCUCGCCUCUCAGUGGCCCCAGAGCUCCCCCGUCACCUCUGCGCCGACAUCGCCCACCGGACCCCCCACCUGUGGCCCGGCUCCUCCUCCGUCGUCGCCCACCAGACCUCCACCGAGGGGUCCGCUGUUGUCCUUGGUCGGAGCUGCUCCGUGGACGUCCACCGUGGGUUCUGUCUCCUGUGUCUCCGCCCACCC